UACCUCGCCGGCUGGAAGGAAAUCCUUCCAGUUGACGAGGCAUGUACCUCGCCGGCUUCCGGUCGACAAGGUACAUGUACCUCGUUGACUGGAAGGAAAUCCUUCCAGCCGGCGAGGUA
rnacentral:miRNA from 1 species